ACGCUCGACACCUACGGGAGGCAGCAGUGGGGAAUAUUGCACAAUGGGGGAAACCCUGAUGCAGCAACGCCGCGUGAAGGAAGACGGUUUUCGGAUUGUAAACUUCUGUUCUUAGUGAAGAUAGUGACGGUAGCUAAGGAGCAAGCCACGGCUAACUCGUGCCAACAGCCGCGGUAAUCUGAGGCGGGCUGGCAAGGC
rnacentral:rRNA from 1 species